UUAUGAAACGCAUUAGAAAAUUCUAAUUUCUAUCAUUCAGGGAUGCCCAGUUCCACAGUGAAUUACACAACUACGGCCUCACCCAAACCAUCUACUGAACCCAACCCAGCAGUGAAUACCACAGUCACGGUGUCAACGAUAUCAUAUAAUGGAUCAAAAACAACAGGGAUGCCCAGUUUCACAGUGAAUUACACAACUGUGCUCUUGCCAAAACUAUCUACUGAACCCAACCCAGCAGCAAAUUCCACAGUUCGGCCCUCAUCCACCCCAGCUAAUGUAUCUAAACCAGCAGAUAAUUCCACAGUUGGACCCUCAUCCAUCCCAACUAAUGAGUCUAAACCAACAGAGAAUUCCACAGUUAGACCAUCAACCACUCCAGCUAAUGAAUCUAAACCAGCAGAAAAUUCCACAGUUGCCCCCUCACCCACCCCAGCUAAUGAAUCUAAACCAGAGAAUUCAACAGUUAGACCAUCAACCACUCCAGCUAAUGAAUCUAAACCAGCAGGGAAUUCCACAGUUGAACCUUCACCCACCCCAGUUACUGAAUCUAAACCAGCAGAGAAUUCCACAAUAGGACCCUCACCCACCCCAGCUAAUGAAUCUAAACCAGCAGAGAAUUUCACAGUUAAACCUUCACCCACCCCAGUUACUGAAUCUAAACCAGCAGAAAAUUCCACAGUUGUUCCCUCUCCCACCACAGCUAAUGAAUCUAAACCAGCAGAGAAUUCCACAGUUGGAGCCUCAUCCAUCCCAGCUAAUGAGUCUACAACAGUAGAGAAUUCCAGAGUUGGACCCUCAGCCACCCCAGCUAAUGAUUCUAAUUCAGUAGAGAAUUCCACAGCUGAUCCCUUACCCAUCCCAG
ensembl:lncRNA